UACGUAGGGGCCGAGCGUUGUCCGGAGUUACUGGGCGUAAAGCGCGCGCAGGCGGCUCGUCAAGCCUGACGUGAAAGCCCCCGGCUCAACCGGGGAGGGUCGUCGGGGACUGGCGGGCUUGAGGUCGGCAGGGGCUGGUGGAAUUCCCGGUGUAGUGGUGAAAUGCGUAGAGAUCGGGAGGAACACCCGUGGCGAAGGCGGCCAGCUGGGCCGGACCUGACGCUGAGGCGCGAAGGCGUGGGGAGCGAACGGG
rnacentral:rRNA from 2 species